rnacentral:piRNA from 1 species
UAUCUGCCUAGUUCCCACAAUAAACGA